rnacentral:rRNA from 1 species
AGUAACACGUACGUGACCUGACGUGUGCUGGGGGAUACCCGUCCGAAAGGGCGGCUAAUACCGCAUGUGGUCCUCGGGGGUGCCCGAGGAAGAAAGGGCGUGAGCCCGGCAGAUGAGGGGCGUGCGGCCGAUUAGCUAGCUGGUGGGGUAACGGCCUACCAGGGCGACGAUCGGUAGCUGGGCUGAGAGGCCGAGCAGCCACACUGGGACUGAGACACGGCCCAG